rnacentral:rRNA from 1 species
GAUGAACGCUGGCGGCGUGCUUAACACAUGCAAGUCGAACGAUGAAGCCCAGCUUGCUGGGUGGAUUAGUGGCGAACGGGUGAGUAACACGUGAGUAACCUGCCCUUAACUCUGGGAUAAGCCUGGGAAACUGGGUCUAAUACCGGAUAGGAGCGCCUACCGCAUGGUGGGUGUUGGAAAGAUUUAUCGGUUUUGGAUGGAUUCGCGGCCUAUCAGCUUGUUGGUGAGGUAAUGGCUCACCAAGGCGACGACGGGUAGCCGGCCUGAGAGGGUGACCGGCCACACUGGGACUGAGACACGGCCCAGACUCCUACGGGAGGCAGCAGUGGGGAAUAUUGCACAAUGGGCGAAAGCCUGAUGCAGCGACGCCGCGUGAGGGAUGACGGCCUUCGGGUUGUAAACCUCUUUCAGUAGGGAAGAAGCGAAAGUGACGGUACCUGCAGAAGAAGCACCAGCUAACUACGUG